rnacentral:rRNA from 1 species
CAUGGCUCUGGAAACUGGAGGACUGGAGAGCAGGAGAGGGCGGUGGAACUCCAUGUGUAGCGGUAAAAUGCGUAGAUAUAUGGAAGAACACCAGUGGCGAAGGCGGCCGCCUGGCCUGUUGCUGACGCUGAGGCACGAAAGCGUGGGGAGCAAAUAGGAUUAGAUACCCUAGUAGUCCACGCCGUAAACGAUGAGGACCAAGUGUUGGGGGUGAAACCUCAGUGCUGAAGUUAACGCAGUGAGUCCUCCGCCUGGGGAGUAUGCACGCAAGUGUGAAACUCAAAGGAAUUGACGGGGGCCCGCACAAGCGGUGGAGUAUGUGGUUUAAUUCGAAGCAACGCGAAGAACCUUACCAGGCCUUGACAUGGGAUGCGAAGACGCAGAGAUGCGUUGGAGGCUAACAUCCACACAGGUGGUGCAUGGUUGUCGUCAGCUCGUGUCGUGAGAUGUUGGGUCAAGUCCCGCAACGAGCGCAACCCUUGUGGCAUGUUGCUAACAGGAAAGCUGAGGACUCAUGCCAGACUGCCGGUGACAAACCGGAGGAAGGCGGGGAUGACGUCAAAUCAUCAUGCCCCUUAUGGCCUGGGCUACACACGUACUACAAUGGCGGCUACAAAGAGCGGCGAGACAGUAAUGUCGAGCGAAUCUCAUAAAAGCCGUCCCAGUUCGGAUUGGAGCCUGCAACCCGGCUCCAUGAAGUUGGAAUCGCUAGUAAUCGCGGAUCAGCAUGCCGCGGUGAAUACGUUCCCGGGCCUUGCACACACCGCCCGUCAA